rnacentral:rRNA from 1 species
CCCUUAGAUGUUCUGGGCCGCACGCGUGCUACACUGAGUGGAUCAGCGGGUCAGGUUGCGCGAAAGCGUUUCCUAAUCUUUAAAUCCGCUCGUGAUGGGGAUUGACGGUUGCAAUUUUCUGUCAUGAACGAGGAAUACCUUGUAAGCGCGGGUCAUCGUCCCGCGCUGAAUACGUCCCUGCCCUUUGUACACACCGCCCGCCGCUCCUACCGAUUGAGUGGUCCGGUGAGGCUUUGGGAUCUGAGCGGAAAGAGCGUUUCGCUGUUUCUGCUCGGAAAACUCAGUCGAACCUUAUCAUUUAGAGGAAGGAGAAGUCGGAACA